ACACUAGUCGUUUACGGAUGAGGUAUGCGAUUUGUAGCCAGAACAUGAAAAAGUAUUGAGAAUAGCCAUGAAGAGGUGAUAAACCAGAUGUGAAGUAUGGAAUCCAAAGAAGAAUGUAAAGAAGUUAUAGAUGGAGAAAAAGAAGAAGAAGAGGAAGUAGAAGAGGAAGAAGAAGAAGAACCAUAUGAAGUAAAACUUAAAGAAGAGGAACAAGAGGAAAAGGAACUAAUUUCCAGACACAGGGUCUACUUAAAGCAGAGAAUUUCUGAAAUAUUCCCUCAGCUAAGUGAUGUCAUCCUGAAUACUACAGUUCAUGAUAAAAGAAACAGAAACGAUUUACAGAUGUGUACUGAACAUCUGUUGGACAACAAAGACACACAAGAUCUUGAAAAAUCAAGUCCAAGUAGUAGAGACGGCCCACAGAUUAACUGCUCUGAUUGAAUAUCGACCACUUAGCAGCAGAAACAGUAAAGAAGGAAAUAUGAAGAUGUGAAAAAGAGCUACAGCAAUGCAGGGAGGAGGUAAAAAAAUAUCUAACAUCAUCGUCAACCCUCCAGCUUAUUCCCAAGUGAUAUUGACGAAUUCCUUUUCUUAUUUGGAUGUCAGGAAUAUAGGAUAUUUUGAAUAAUUUGUUGACAGUUUGUACACUUUUCCCUUAUAACCUAAACACCAUGAGGUUUCAACUAUGUAAUCAUUUCUCUUCGUAGUAAUGAAUCCAUUUACCGUGUCGUGUAAUUAAUCCGACAGGAAAAGAGUUAUAUCAGA